AGGACUAUAGUUAAUAAUAAUAUUUGGGUUGCAUUCAAAAGGUACUGGAAAACAGUUAGUCUUA
rnacentral:tRNA from 1 species